rnacentral:rRNA from 1 species
CAUGCAAGUCGAGCGGAUGAAGGGAGCUUGCUCCUGGAUUCAGCGGCGGACGGGUGAGUAAUGCCUAGGAAUCUGCCUGGUAGUGGGGGAUAACGUCCGGAAACGGGCGCUAAUACCGCAUACGUCCUGAGGGAGAAAGUGGGGGAUCUUCGGACCUCACGCUAUCAGAUGAGCCUAGGUCGGAUUAGCUAGUUGGUGGGGUAAAGGCCUACCAAGGCGACGAUCCGUAACUGGUCUGAGAGGAUGAUCAGUCACACUGGAACUGAGACACGGUCCAGACUCCUACGGGAGGCAGCAGUGGGGAAUAUUGGACAAUGGGCGAAAGCCUGAUCCAGCCAUGCCGCGUGUGUGAAGAAGGUCUUCGGAUUGUAAAGCACUUUAAGUUGGGAGGAAGGGCAGUAAGUUAAUACCUUGCUGUUUUGACGUUACCAACAGAAUAAGCACCGGCUAACUUCGUGCCAGCAGCCGCGGUAAUACGAAGGGUGCAAGCGUUAAUCGGAAUUACUGGGCGUAAAGCGCGCGUAGGUGGUUCAGCAAGUUGGAUGUGAAAUCCCCGGGCUCAACCUGGGAACUGCAUCCAAAACUACUGAGCUAGAGUACGGUAGAGGGUGGUGGAAUUUCCUGUGUAGCGGUGAAAUGCGUAGAUAUAGGAAGGAACACCAGUGGCGAAGGCGACCCCUGGACUGAUACUGACACUGAGGUGCGAAAGCGUGGGGAGCAAACAGGUUAGAUACCCUGGUAGUCCACGCCGUAAACGAUGUCGACUAGCCGUUGGGAUCCUUGAGAUCUUAGUGGCGCAGCUAACGCGAUAAGUCGACCGCCUGGGGGAGUACGGCCGCAAGGUUAAAACUCAAAUGAAUUGACGGGGGCCCGCACAAGCGGUGGAGCAUGUGGUUUAAUUCGAAGCAACGCGAAGAACCUUACCUGGCCUUGACAUGCUGAGAACUUUCCAAAGAUGGAUUGGUGCCUUCGGGAACUCAGACACAGGUGC